CAAUAGCGUAUAUUAAAGUUGUUGCAGUUAAAAAGCUCGUAGUUGGACUUCUGCGGGUGGCGGCCGGUCGUGCUCGAAACGGGCGUGAACUUGGCGUGCUGCCCGCAUCUUUGGGAAGAUUGUGCGUGGCAUUAAGUUGUCGUGCAUGGGAUUCUCAUCAUUUACUGUGAAAAAAUUAGAGUGUUUAAAGCAGGCCUUUGCCUUGAAUACAUUAGCAUGGAAUAAUAAGAUAGGACCGUUGUCUAUUUUGUUGGUUUACAGAUGUCGGUAAUGAUUAAUAGGGAUAGUUGGGGGUAUUCGUAUUCAGUUGUCAGAGGUGAAAUUCUUGGAUUUUCGGAAGACGCACGACUGCGAAAGCAUUUACCAAGGAUGUUUNCAUUAA
rnacentral:rRNA from 1 species